rnacentral:rRNA from 1 species
AAGAGACAGCAGUAGCCACGGUAAUACGUAGGGUGCGAGCGUUAAUCGGAAUUACUGGGCGUAAAGGGCGCGCAGGCGGCAGAUCAAGUCAGAUGUGAAAGCCCCGGGCUUAACCUGGGAACUGCAUUUGGGACUGGUUUGCUAGAGAUCGGGAGAGGAGAGUGGAAUUCCCAGUGUAGAGGUGAAAUUCGUAGAUAUUGGGAAGAACACCGGUGGCGAAGGCGGCUCUCUGGACCGAUACUGACGCUGAGGCGCGAAAGCGUGGGGAGCAAACAGGAUUAGAUACCCGCGUAGUCCCUGUCUCUUAUAC